UACGGAAGGCAGCAGUGGGGAAUAUUGCACAAUGGGCGAAAGCCUGAUGCAGCUAUGCCGCGUGUAUGAAGAAGGCCUUAGGGUUGUAAAGUACUUUCAUCGGGGAGGAAAAAACAAAACUAAUAAUUUUAUUUCUUGACGUUACCCGAAAAAGAAGCACCGGCUAACUCCGUGCCAGCAGCCGCGGUAAUACGGAGGGUGCUAGCGUUAAUCAGAAUUACUGGGCGUAAAGAGCACGUAGGUGGUUUUUUUAAGUCAGAUGUGAAAUCCCUGGGCUUAACCUAGGAACUGCAUUUUGAAACUGAAAUACUAGAGUAUCGUAGAGGGAGGUAGAAUUCUAGGUGUAGCGGUGAAAUGCGUAGAUAUCUGGAGGAAUACCUGUGGCGAAAGCGGCCUCCUAAACGAAUACUGACACUGAGGGUGCGAAAGCGUGGGGAGCAAACGAGGGAUUAGAUACC
rnacentral:rRNA from 1 species